rnacentral:rRNA from 1 species
GGCACCUGCGGCAGCUAUACAUGCAAGUCGUACGGCAGCACGGGUAGCAAUACCUGGUGGCGAGUGGCGCACGGGUGCGUAACGCGUAUGCAACCUACCCUUAACAGAGACAUAACCUGGCGAAAGCUGGGCUAAUAUCUCAUGAGGUUAUAGAGGGGCAUCCCUAAAUAAUCAAAGCAGCGAUGUGGUUAAGGAUGGGCAUGCGUCUCAUUAGCUAGUUGGUGAGGUAACGGCUCACCAAGGCGACGAUGGGUAGGGGUUCUGAGAGGAAGGUCCCCCACACUGGUACUGAGACACGGACCAGACUCCUACGGGAGGCAGCAGUAAGGAAUAUUGGGCAAUGGUCGGAAGACUGACCCAGCCAUGCCGCGUGCAGGAAGAAGGCCCUAUGGGUUGUAAACUGCUUUAGCCAGGGGCUAAACCUACCGAUGCGUUGGUAGCUGAAGGUACCUGGAGAAUAAGCAUCGGCUAACUCCGUGCCAGCAGCCGCGGUAAUACGGAGGAUGCGAGCGUUAUCCGGAUUUACUGGGUUUAAAGGGUGCGCAGGCGGUUGUUUAAGUCAGGGGUGAAAGCCCUAUGCUCAACAUAGGGAUUGCCUUUGAUACUGAACGGCUAGAGUGAAGAUGGAGUGGGUGGAAUGUGUUGUGUAGCGGUGAAAUGCAUAGAUAUAACACAGAACACCGAUCGCGAAGGCAGCUCACUAAUUUUCAACUGACGCUCAUGCACGAAAGCGUGGGGAUCAAACAGGAUUAGAUACCCUGGUAGUCCACGCUGUAAACGAUGAUCACUAGCUGUUGGUACGCAGAAGUAUCAGUGGCUAAGCGAAAGUGAUAAGUGAUCCACCUGGGGAGUACGACCGCAAGGUUGAAACUCAAAGGAAUUGACGGGGGCCCGCACAAGCGGAGGAGCAUGUGUUUAAUUCGAUGAUACGCGAGGACCUUACCAGGGCUCGACGCAGGGAGAUAUACCUGAAGGGUAUAGCAGCGAUGUCGUCUGCAGGUGCUGCAUGGUUGUCGUCAGCUCG